GACAGACGGUCCGAGCGUUAGGCGGAAUCACUGGGCUUAAAGCGUGUGUAGGCGGAUUUGUAAGUACCUUGUGAAAUCCCACAGCUUAACUGUGGAACUGCUUGGUAUACUGCUUAUCUUGGGCCACUUAGGGGUUACCGGAACAAACGGUGGAGCGGUGAAAUGCGUAGAUAUCAGGAGGAACACCAAUGGCGAAGGCAGAUCUCUGGGCCGUAACUGACGCUGAGGAGCGAAAGCAUGGGGAGCGAACAGG
rnacentral:rRNA from 1 species